AUUGAACGCUGGCGGCAUGCCUUACACAUGCAAGUCGAACGGCAGCACGGGAGCAAUCCUGGUGGCGAGUGGCGAACGGGUGAGUAAUACAUCGGAACGUGCCCAAUCGUGGGGGAUAACGCCGCGAAAGCUGUGCUAAUACCGCAUACGAUCUACGGAUGAAAGCAGGGGACCGCAAGGCCUUGCGCGAAUGGAGCGGCCGAUGGCAGAUUAGGUAGUUGGUGGGGUAAAGGCUCACCAAGCCAACGAUCUGUAGCUGGUCUGAGAGGACGACCAGCCACACGGGGACGGAGACACGGCCCAGACGCCUGAGGGAGGCAGCAGUGGGGAAUUGUGGACAAUGGGCGCAAGCCUGAUCCAGCCAUGCCGCGUGCAGGAUGAAGGCCUUCGGGUUGUAAACUGCUUUUGUACGGAACGAAACGGCCUUGUCUAAUAAAGAGGGUUAAUGACGGUACCGUAAGAAUAAGCACCGGCUAACUACGUG
rnacentral:rRNA from 1 species